UACGGAGGAUGCGAGCGUUAUCCGGAAUCAUUGGGUUUAAAGGGUCCGUAGGCGGGCUAAUAAGUCAGAGGUGAAAGCGUUCAGCUCAACUGAGCAACUGCCUUUGAAACUGUUAGUCUUGAAUGAUUGUGAAGUAGUUGGAAUGUGUAGUGUAGCGGUGAAAUGCUUAGAUAUUACACAGAACACCGAUAGCGAAGGCAUAUUACUAACAAUUUAUUGACGCUGAUGGACGAAAGCGUGGGGAGCGAACAGG
rnacentral:rRNA from 1 species